AUGGCAUCUCCUUUACAUGCUUUGAGUAAGAAGAAUACACCCUUUGUUUGGGGACCAUCUCAAGAUAGCGCUUUUAACGAGCUCAAGAAUUUGCUUACUCAUGCUCCCGUGCUUGCAUUACCCAACUUUGACAAACCUUUUGAAAUUCAUUGUGAUGCUAGUGGUAAUGGCAUAGGAGGUGUGUUAACGCAAGAGAAGCGCCCAAUUGCUUACUUUAGUGAGAAACUUUCCGGAGCGCAACUUAAAUAUCCCAUCUAUGACAAAGAGCUAUAUGCUUUAGUGCGAGUUUUGCGUGAGUGGGAACAUUAUCUUCUACCUCAUGAAUUUUUCAUCCACACUGAUCAUGAAACGCUUAAAUACCUUAAGGGUCAAACUAAGUUGAACAAGCGUCAUGCUAAAUGGAGUGAAUUCACUGAUUCAUUUCCUUUUGUCAUCAAGUACAUCAAAGGUAAGGAAAAUGUUGUGGCAGAUGCGCUUUCCCGCAAAUGCAUGCUUGUUACUAAACUUGAAUUGAAUGUCAUUGGUUUUGAGCACAUAAAAGACUUGUAUGCGCAUGAUCCUACUUUUGCUAUUCCUUAUGCCAAAUGUUUGAUGCAUACAUCUUGGGAACGCUAUUACAUCAAAGAUGAUUAUCUUAUGAGAGCUAACAAACUAUGCAUCCCCGAGUCUUCUCUUCAUUUGUUUCUUUUGCAAGAAUCUCAUGGAGGAGGACUAAUGGGACACUUUGGACGCGACAAGACAUUUGCUCCGCUCUCCAAGAACUUUUUUUGGCCCAAGAUGUUCCGCGACGUCUCACGUUUCACCACUCGAUGCUCUAUAUGUCGCAAAGCUAAGUAUAAAGCUCAAUCUCAUGGCAUUUACAUGCCACUUCCUAUUCCAUAUCACCCAUGGGAAGAUAUUAGUAUGGACUUUGUGCUUGGUUUGCCUAGAACUAGAAAUGGAAAUGAUUCCGUGUUUGUUGUUGUGGAUCAUUUCUCUAAAAUGUUUCAUUUCAUUCCUUGCAACAAGAUAGACGAUGCUUCACAUAGUACAAAUCUCUUUUGUAGGGAAAUCUUGCGCUUACAUGGAGUGCCGAAGACGAUUGUCCCGGACCGCGACGUCAAGUUCUUGAGUUACUUUUGGAAGACCUUAUGUGCCAAGCUCGGAAUCAAGCUACUAUUCUCCACGGCAUACCAUCCACAAACCGACGGCCAAACGGAGGUGACGAACCGUACACUCUCUACUCUACUACGAGUGUUAAUCAAGAAGAACAUAAAGGAGUGGGAGGAGUGCCUACCCAUCACCGAGUACACCUACAACCGCGCAAGACAUUUGAUUACCGGCAAGUCCCCCUUCGAGGUCGUCUAA
rnacentral:rRNA from 1 species